rnacentral:rRNA from 1 species
UACGAACCGUGCGACCGUUGUUCGGAAUCACUGGGCUUAAAGGGCGCGUAGGCGGGCUGCCAAGUCCGGGGUGAAAUCUUUCGGCCCAACCGGAAAAGUGCCUUGGAUACUGGCGGCCUGGAGUGAGGCAGGGGCGGAUGGAACUUCCGGUGGAGCGGUGAAAUGCGUUGAUAUCGGAAGGAACGCCGGUGGCGAAAGCGAUCCGCUGGACCUCUUCUGACGCUGAGGCGCGAAAGCCAGGGGAGCAAACGGG